rnacentral:rRNA from 1 species
AUGGGCAAGUGAGUAAGGGUGCAGGGAGGAGGAAGGGGCACUAGGAGCCGAUGAAGGACGUGAUAAGCUGCGAUAAGCUUCGGGGAGUUGCACGUAAACUUUGAUCCGAAGAUUUCCGAAUGAGGAAACUCACGUAGAGUAAUGUCUAAGUAUCAUUAAGGGAAUACAAAGCUUAAUGAGGGGAACUCAGGGAACUGAAACAGCUAAGUACCUGAAGGAAGAGAAAGAAAGUCGAUGCCGUAAGUAGCGGCGAGCGAACGAGGAUUAGCCCAAACCAAUAAAGUUUUCUUUAUUGGGGUUGCGGACAUAUCAUAACGAAGAGGUAUCGUAAUUGAAGAGGUUUGGAAAGACCCACCAC